UCUAAAUGAGGAGUGCAAGACUAGAGGAGCUAUUCUGAAUUACAGACUGGGUGGCACAACACAAAGAGGCAGCUUUCCUGGAAGAGAAAGCUGAGGACAAUCAGGAGCAGAUCCUUGACACCCAGCAAGACAGUGACUAGCUCAGGCUGUGCCAGCUGAGGGAUCUGUUAAGCAUCAUGGUGAAAACCCCAUGUGGCCAUUGCUUUUGUUGCUAAAAAACUCCCACCAACUUUGACCUCAGUGCAAAGAGGCUGAACGCUUGCCAGAGGUCUUGUUCCUGCAGCCAUCAGGCAGGAGCCAUGCUCUCCAUUCCGCUUUCCUCCAAGCUCAGUUUUCCUCUGUCACGUGUAAACAACUUACAGCAAGUUUGGCCCCACUUCUUUAAGCAAUGAGAUGUGUUAGUAAUUGUGCCUCUGGAUCUCUGAGGUCUCUUAGGUGUUUCCUCCCUGUUGACCUGUUUGAGCUCACUGUGGCAGAGGAUUAUCAGUCUUCACCAUGCUGAACUCACGAAUAUUUCAUAGAGAAAGGUGGCUCAGGAGAGGGGACAGAGAUAUGAAUUACUGCACCCACAGAGAGAAAAGCUUCUGCCUAUCAUUAAACAUUAGGGAGAGUGCCAGGGAGAGAAACAAUAUAUGUAAAAUCCAUGGGAAGUCUGUCUUCAUAAGCAUAGCUAGCAGCUCACAGUCCAGCUUGCGUUUUGUUACUUUUUACAAUUUAAAAAUGCACUUAUACACACAGCAGAGUUUUAAGAAUGAAAUUCGUGAAUUUCACUCAAGCCAACACAUAUGGAGUAAAAAAGGUGUGGUGAAAAGAAAGGCCAGCGAGAAACACCGCAUCUGUGAUAUUUCAGAGCCCAGCUCUGGACUUCGAGUGCUGUGCCUGAUGAAUGCUGAAGGUACAGAGAGUCCAGAACGUAGUAUGUAAAUUACUAAGGUGCAUUAUACAGAAAAAGUACAGGGGAAAAAAAACAAUGUUUAGAAACAGCUGAUAUAAGGGUAGAGGGGCUUUCAGCUGGACUAGAACCAAGCACUUGGAAGUACAUCAUCCUGCCUCCAUCAGUCCCCUGACUGGGGGCAGGAGAAGGGCACGAGACACUCAGCAGAUAACACCUACAUAUUAACCAGCAUGCUGAGAGCUCAGGUUGCAAGAGCUGGCACUAUGGGCUAGUCGAUAGCCAGUAUUGCUUGUAUCUGCUUUAUCUGUUUGCUUUUAAAUGGAGCAAUUUUUCUGGAAAGUGUAAUCAGCAUUCUGGGUGUCUGCACAACUACCUAUGUAAUUUAGCAUACUUGAGAGGAGGACUUUGUCUCUAAUACCACGGGGAAAAAGGCAAAAAUUGCCUUUUCCCUAGGGCAGAGUUUAAAAAUAAAUGAAAGGCAGCCAGCUUCCUUUCCAAUUUUCCUGUACAGGAAAACAGGGUAAUUUGUAUUUUUAAAAUCCACAACGUAUGCUAACACCAAUUCUGUCUGGCUCUGGUUUUCUUUACAUAUUUAGUGACAGCUAUUGGGAGCAAGCAGUUCUAGUCCACUCUUAUGUAUAUUAGUAGCAACCAUACACAGCAUGGCCACAAUGCAUAUGCAUGCAAUGACAUGACAUACUGACCUGUUUCAAAAUGCUUUUAUCGGUACUUGUCAUUAAUCAAAUACAUUGCAUAAUGACUUUCAGCCAUUAUGUCCACACAUGCACUAACUAAAUAAUCUUGGUUUUGUUUUUUGUUUCCCCCAAAAUCAGUUCUUAAAUCUUUCAUGAACAGCUGUCACACCAUUAUUAUUGACGUACAGAGGUGAGAAAAGUCUGGCUGGAUUUACUAGGGGAUGGGCUUAGAAAGGAGCUGCAGGAAUUUUAAAUAUUUGCAGGAGGAUUAAAUUGAGUUUAAGAAAUAUAUCCACUUCUGAUAGAGUUUAAGAAUUAAUAAAAUACAUAUAUAUACAUACAUAUAUACGUAUCUCGCUUAAUCUUUAGGAAGAGCAGGAGCAAAUGAAUAAUUGAUUGAGAUAGCAUUUCCUCAUCCUCCUUCUUAGAAUGUCUCAUAUUAUCUAAAAAAGCACAAAUCAAAUAAUAGAAUAGUUCAGAUUGGAAGGAAUCUCAUCUGGCCCAACCUUCUGUGGAAAAGGAAGCCUAUAUGAGAUUAUCUAGCACCUCAUCCAAUUGCCUCAUGAAAACCUUCAGCAAUGGGGACUCUACUGCAUCCCAGGGGAAGUUGCUCCAGUGAAAAAAUUCAUUUUUUAUGUCAAGAUGUCUUUUCCCCCUUUAUCACUGAGUCACCUGAAGUUGAGUUAUGAUGAAUAAUUUUUGCCCCCACCUCUAAUUUUUUAAAAAUCCAGAACCCAGACUCAUCCCACUGGCCCUGUAUCUAGUUGCAUAGUCCAUUCUACUAUAAUACUACAAAGGGAAAUGGAGGGAUGGUAGAUUGCUUGCCACCUCUGUGUGCAUCUGCCAGAAAACAACAAUUCAGCAGCCAGACCAAGAAAAAGUUACGGUUUGCUGCUGUCUUUGCCUUCCCAUCAACAUGUGUCCUCUGCCCUAAAAAAAUCUUGCUGGCAUCAUUGAGACAGAAAGGACACAGAGACACCAAACACAUAAGAGAUCAAUGACCUAGGGAGGGAAAAGUAAGGAAACCUAGUAGAGCAGCAGAAGUUUAUGCCAAAGCAAACCGGCAUCACUAGGAGAGUCAAGAAGUUCAAUCCCAACCAAGCCUGCAGCAAAUUUGCAGCAGAAAGUUUCUGACUGUAUUUUCCUCAAUCCAUCAAGAUUGUCUAGUGCUUGAGCACUUGCCCUUAGAGGAGACAAUGAAAGAGGUGGAUUUGUUGAACCUGGUGAAGAGAUGACUUAAGGGCCUAACAGGCUGUUGAGGAGACAGAGCCUGACUUCUUUCUGGUCCAUGGAGGCAACAGGAAUAAGUUGAAAGGAUAGGUUCCAUCUGGAUUUAAGGAAAAAGACUAUUAUAAGGAUAGUCAAGCACUGGAAUGGAUUGCUCAGAGAGCUGGUCAAAUCUCUGUCCAUGGAGAAUUUCAAGACCAAACAGGACAAAGCCCAAAGAAUCCCAAUCUGAAUUCAUUGUUGACCUACUCUGGACUACAGACAUCCAGAGAUCCCUGCCAGUCUGAAUGAAUCCUCUGAUCUUGUAUAAUAUGCUCAACUUACUGCUCUCCUGGAUAGAAAGGUUUCUUCCUGGUUUUGUUUGUGUUUUUUCUCUCUGCCCAUGGUUAGGUUCCUAACACUGCAGGCCAAGAGCUGGGCUGACUACUCUGUGCAGAAAGAAUAAAUAUUUGCUUAUUGUUGCUAAAGCUGAAACCACAUCAGAACAUGCUUCAUCACCAAUUUAAGAAGUGAGGAGUCUGCACCAGGUAUACAAACUGAGAAGCUGGUGAGCAAGUUGCUGUCAAACAGGUUUGCACCAUCAUGACUCAAAUCCUCUAGAUACCUGCUGCAGGGGUCACAGUGCUGUUUAACAGAUCACUUUAAAACAUACCGUUCCAAAGUCCAGCAGAGAAAAUACCUAAUUUAAAGUGUUGGGGGACUUUGUGUUGGACUGUGGUGUAAAUCCAGAUAGGAACGCUCCUGAAAGUCACAGCAGUAUCUAUUUCCCCCUAAUAGAAAUAAAAGAGGAGAGGGGUACGUAAAAUGUUCCCUUAAUGAUGAGUCUGCCAGGAGGGAUGGUCCCAGAGAGGUUAAGAGUGUUUUUGUGUGAAGGUGCCACGUUAAAGACAUGCCCAUGUAUGUUGACUUGAGGGGGCUUUCCCACUCUUCAUGCCAGGCAGUGCACUCAGGGGGAUUGCUCAGCUGAACUCUGCAGGGACAAGGUACAGAAACCUUGAAGGUACAGAAGUUGCCACCGCAGCCCACACUGAGCACCUGCCCACCACAGCAUGGAGAUCCUGCCACCACCAGCAGUGGUGACAUGUGGCCCCAGAAGGAUGCUUCACAGUGCUCAUCACCCCCCACAGGCAGGGAGGGCACAGGAGAAGCCUCCUGCGGCUGGCAGUGUACCACAGGGCACAUAAUGAAGUCACUUGUUGGGAACACUUAGAAUCAUCAAAUAGUUUGGGUUGGAAGGGACCUUCAAAGUUCAUCUAGUCCAACCCCCCUGCAAUGAGCAGGGACAUCUUCAACCAGAUCAGGUUGCUCAGAGCCCUGUCCAGCAUGGCCUUGGAUGUUUCCAGGGAUGGGGCAUCUACCACCUCUCUGGGCAACCUGUGUCAGUGUUUUACCACCCUCAUUGGAAAAAAAUUCUUCCUCACGUCUAGCCUGAAUCUCCCCUCCUUUAGUUUAAAACCAUUACUCCUUGUCAUCUUGCAAUAGGCCCUGCUAAAAAGUCUGUCUCCAUCUUUCUUACAGGCUCCUUUUAAGUACAAAAAGGCUGCAAUAAGGUCUUGCAGCAAGAGUGAAGUAGUGCUGGAAAGCGUCUCCAUCACGAAUUAUCUGCAAGCAUCUUCCGCAAUGUAUCCUUCACCAGCCAGCUGCUUCAGUGUGGUCUGCUGUAGACACCCUGCACAGAGGAUGGCUGCACGGCAAAGGGGCUGCUGCAAGACUGAGUUUGGGGCUGACAGACAGAGAUAAGCUGUAUCCCCAUAGGAGAAGACCUGCAUUACUCACAGCUGCUUCAUCUGCAUCCAUCCUUUGUCUCCUUCUCCAGCCUUGGGGAUUUUCUGAUGAGCUCUCCAGGAGGAAAAGCUCAGCUCUGAGUGUUGUUGUGACUGCCUUAUUUCACUCUGAAGAGGAGAUGGAAAUUGACAUUUCUGGCUUGACUUUACAUUACAGCAAACUCAAAAGAAGCUACAUCAUAGGGAUGCACCAUGGAAGCACCUGUGGAUGCGAGGGGUAUAAAAAGCUGAAGUAGCACCCAGCUGCAAACAUUGGACAGGGAUGGAAACCACAGAGCUGGAGGAUGGGACAUGAGGGGAGAGACAGUAGCAAGCAAUGGGAGAGCAGCAAGAGAACGUGCAAAAGCAUGGUGCAGUCACUUGGCUGUGGGAGGAAAGCUGGAGGAAGCUUGGCAGUUUAUGGAAAGCUGCAAAAGCAGAACAACUCAUUCCUUCAUUUAGCUGUGGAAGGUCCCUACAUGCACACACAUCCAUGGCCUGCUUAGGAGGAGGCUGGAUAAUACAAUUUGCACUGAGAAUAUAAUUCAUUAGAUGUAGGAAGAAAAAAAGGAGCAUAAUAGAUUUGCUGGAAAAAAAAUGCAGUUUUGAAGGUGCUGACAUGAAUCACAAAUUGCAUGAAAUUUGUUCUAUAGAAAACGGUAGCCCAGAGUAGUUGAGAUGUUUCAUUUCACCUUUCUUAAUGCAUAUGCUUCCAUUCUUCUUUUUGCAAGGAGACCUUUAUUUCAUCUUCAUAAUUUUAAAGGAAUAAUAGAAAGAGUUAAAUAACCUGAAAGUUAUCUGAACUAUUCUAUCACAAGCCAGGUGUUGCAAAAAGAGAGAAGCAGGAUUUUCUUCCCUUACAGCUGUUAAUUUUAUCUCUGAACAUCGGCACCUUUUGAAACCCAGAUAUCUGUCAGCAGAGGAUGCCCUUAGCAUGGAACAGCUACCACAGCUGCAAAGUGGAAGAAAAUUGUGUUUUCCACCAGAAAGGAAAGACCUCAAGCAGUUAAGUCCUCUUGAAACACCACAGUAGGAAUAGGAAAACAUCUUUUAGGAGGUCAGUGGCAGCCCUUUCACUGAGACACCCAAGAAGCCAAAACUGUUGCUCAAAACAUAAAGCACUUAUUUAACAUCAGCAGUGACUCUAGCACACUGAGUUCCCCACAGCAACAUAGAACAUAGCCCUGAAGGAUUCUGUGCUGCAAAGACAUUCCCAGUUUGUGCUGCUAAAAUGUAUGCAAUGAUGAAUGAAGCUUGCAGAGAUGAAGCAAAAAGGCCUCAGAAGGACGAAUGUUGCACAACUGCCAGAGGCAAGGCAAAAAUCUCAUUCCUUGUUUAUUGGUACAGGACUAUUUUAUAAUACAUGAGCUAAGGCUGGUUCAGGCAAAAAUUAAAAGAAGUGGGAGGGACAACAAAGCCAAGGCAUCACAAGGAGCAGAGUGCUGUGUUGUACUCAGCCUCAUAUCCCUCUUGGACUUUCACACCUCAUUGCUAGGCUACAGAACUAACUUUGGCAAAACGUUCUCCAAUUUUGUGAGCAUAAUAUGUAGUCACAGAGGACUGAAACUGAGGUGUCUUUGAGUUUGCUCCCAAAUACCCUAACAAAAGCCAGUUAUUUGUCUAUUUCUCCAUAACCUCUGGAUCUGAAUUGCAAAUCCUCACACACACACAUCCCCUCCCUGAAUCAGUGCACAGCAUUAAACUCAGUAUCUGCAGCACCUCAUAUCCCUUAUCAUGGGGAUAUUACAUAGUGAGAGAAAUCCUGGCCUUCUAUAUGGGGCUUUUCUUUUUUUUUUUUUUAAAUGGAAUAACUUUGGGCUUUUCAAUGGAGGCACUUUUCCCUCUGCCCUCCUCCUUAGAAAUGUUUUAAAAGAGUUUUUCCCCUCCACAAUACUCAGCACAUCUAAAGGACCAAAAGUUGUAGCCCAGGCCCACAACAGAAGUAAGCAACUACAGUAGCUCUUCUCUGAAAACAUUAGCAGCAAAGGUUAUUGUUUCCAUCAUGUUAAUUAAUCAGACCUGGCCAAAAGUGGGUUUACUCCAUCCUGCCUCUUCCUCCCCUUCCCAAAGUAAAAGUGUUUAUAAAUUAUAGGAUAUCAGUUUGUAACAAAAGUGGCAUCUUAGGUCUGUGAUCAUCCAAAAUUGGCAUUAUGAAGGGCAACACAAUUUUCAUUUUAGAAUCUAAUUAAACAGGAACAUUUAUCCUUGCAAAUCAUUUAUUUGCAAUUAAAACAUUGAAGAUAUUUUUCAUUUUGGUGUCUGACUUCAGAACAAAAAGCAAUUGCAAACCAUCUGCCUUCUACCUACAAGCUUUUGAAAUAACUCCCUGAGGCUUGAAAGGAAUAACACUUUCAAACCCAUCUCAGCUGACACCCUGGCUACCCUCUGCAUUGGAAAGACUUGGGAAUACCAUAAUCCAAAAGCCCAUCACUUUUAUUAAAAUAAAAAGUAAAUAAUAUGAAAUCAA